CGCCCUCGCGGCGUCGCGCAGCAUCCCGCAGAGCGCCGAGCCCGCGCCUAGGGCCUGCGGCUGCGGCGAUGAAGAUCUGGAGCUCGGAGCACGUGUUCGGCCAUCCCUGGGACACGGUGAUCAAGGCUGCCAUGCGGAAGUACCCAAACCCGAUGAACCCGUGCGUGGUGGGCGUGGACGUGCUGGAGCGCAGCGUGGACGGCUUUGGGCGCCUGCACAGUCUGCGCCUGCUCAGUACUGAGUGGGGGCUGCCCAGCCUCGUGCGAGCGAUUUUGGGAGCCAACAGGACCUUGACAUACAUCAAAGAGCGCUCUGUCGUGGAUCCGGCUGCAAGGACGAUGGAGCUGUGUUCCACCAAUAUCACGCUCACAAAUCUGGUGUCUGUGAAUGAGAGGUUGGUGUACACACCUCAUCCAGAGAAUCCUGAAAAGACUGUGCUCACCCAGGAAGCCAUCAUCACCGUGAAGGGGAUUAGUCUCGGGAGCUACCUGGAAAGUCUAAUGGCCAGCACGAUAUCCUCCAAUGCAAAGAAGGGCUGGGCUGCCAUCGAGUGGAUAAUUGAACAUUCCGAGAGCGCCAUAAGCUAACAGGUCUGCACCCAUGCCUGGUGACACACGGGGGCAACCACCGUAACUUCCUAACCUGAGCUAAGCUGUCUCCACCUUCAGUCAGAUAUUGCACCAAAAAGAGUCAAGGAGAAAAGAAGGAAGGAAGAAUGGCUGGACAAGGAAGAGGAAAGGCAAGUGCGGACGGAAGUGGUUCCGGUCAAGACUGCAAGAGCUGGGACUGCCGGAAUCUUCCCUGUCCGUGGUAUCCCAGUCCAGCAUCGGCCCCGGCACGAGCAGUGCGAGGCUGUGGUUCCUGGGAGUGGUCGGGAGCCCUGCUCUGGCAGCUUCUGCAGUAGGUACCACGCCGCCACAGCACUGGGCUGGGACAGGACUGGGCUGCACUGCCCCUGCGCUGGUCUUAAGCUUUUGCCUGCUUCCCCUGGCAGGAGCGCCACCUCCGCCUGCUGACUUCAGUCACUUCACCAAAGGAGAGCUCCCCUCUCCUCAUGCCCUGCCAGCUAAGCCAGGGUAGGUUCCCCCAAACCUUCCCCAGGGAUCUGGCUGCUGUGUUCCUGGUGGCCGCAUGACCUUAUAGUGUUCCACUCGCCUUUGUGAAGAAGGUGGACAAGAAGUUGCUUUCUGACCCUCAGGGUCCCCAUCAUGUACCAUAUCCAAAAUAAUGGUGUGGAACGCUCUUCAGAGGCCACUAUAGGGUCCAGCCGUGACUGGGAUUUUCAAGAUCAGACUGGCUGUGGAACUGAAGAUGACCUUGAACUCCUGAUCUCCCCAAGUGCUGGGAUUACAGACUUGGGCUGCUAUACUUGGCUCUUUUUGGUUGUUGUUGAGACAGAUCUUGGAACCCGGGUUUUCCUGAAACUCCUGCCUCAGCAUCUCAAGUGCUGGAAUCCCAGGUGUGCACCACCAUGCCCCAACUGGGGUCCUUGUCAGGUCCCUGCCAUCUUUUCAGCUUCUACCGGCUAACAGGAGAGGUUGGGGACCUGCUGCUAUGUAAGAAAGAGCCUACUUCUCUCCUCUACCUCCCAUGGUCCUGCUGGCUCUGAGUGGUGGCUGUGUGCUCCUGGCCUAGGUUGAAACCCUUCCCCCAAGCUCACUUUUCCUUCCUGGCUUAGAGUUUCUUGUAGUCGUUUUCUUUUUCUCUGUGUAGCCCUUGCUGUAGACCAGGCUGGCCUCGAACUCACAGAGAUCCGCCAGGCCUCUCCUUGUAGUAGUAUAAGUAACUCAAUCUGGCCUUCAAUUCACCGUGGAUGUGAGGCUGACUUUGAACCCCUUCCACCUUUCAAGGACCAGAAUUACAGGUGAGCAUCAUCAUGCCUGGCUUCCUACCAUCAUCAAACCAAGGUUUAAAACACUAAAGAUGUGUAUAGAGACGUGUAUAUAUGUAUAGGCAAUUCCUGCUUGCAGUUUAAAAAAGAGGUAUUGAAUCUGCUGACUGGUAUAGACCUCUGCUCUCCCUGUCAGUCAAAUCACAAUUUUUACAGACCUAGAAUUUUUCUAUGCCUAUGAAAGUUUGUCUUCUUUCAUUAAACUUGGGUUUAUA